rnacentral:rRNA from 1 species
CGUAGGUGGCAAGCGAUACUCGGAAUCACUAGGCGUAAAGCGCAGGUAGGCGGUUUGGUAAGUCUUUUGUGAAAGCUCCCGGCUCAACUGGGAGAGGUCAAGGGAAACUACCGGACUAGAGUGUGGUAGGGGAUACUGGAAUUCCUGGUGUAGCGGUGAAAUGCGUAGAUAUCAGGAGGAAUACCUAUGGCGAAAGCAGGUAUCUGGGCCAUCACUGACGCUGAACUGCGAAAGCUAGGGGAGCAAACAGGAUUAGAUACCCUGGUAGUCCUAGCCCUAAACGAUGCUCAUUAGAUGUGGGAGGUAUCGACCCCUUCCGCGUCGCAGCUAACGCAUUAAAUGAGCCGCCUGGGGAGUACGGCCGCAAGGUUG